UGUGCGUGCAGACUCCCAGCUCGAGGCAGCGCAGAGCCAGUGACUUCAUAACUGACCCAGAUGUCUCACUUGAGGCGAUCUGCUUGGUGCCGCCUCCAGAGCAGCAGUCCAUCUCCUUCAGAAGGCUGUGAACUCCUGGAGCCAGAGAAGAGAUCAACAAAGACCCCAGUGCCUCAAAGGGAAGCUAAUGGAGUCCUGAGGACUGAUGGCGUUCCUGGGCCCCCUUGGCAUCCUCCCAGCCAAGAAGCACCUGCUUCCUUAAGAGUUUAAUUUUCCUUUGUUGAAUGCAGCUCUCAGGUAACAUUCACAGGUUCCAGGAUGUUGAUAUCUUUGGAGGGACCAUUUUUCAGCCUACCAAAGAGAGACCAGCUGGAGGAUUGGGGGAGAGACUUGAUGCCUUCGAUCACUGUCCUAAGACAGG